AUUGAACGCUGGCGGCAGGCCUAACACAUGCAAGUCGAGCGGAUGAAGGGAGCUUGCUCCUGGAUUCAGCGGCGGACGGGUGGGUAAUGCCUAGGAAUCUGCCUUGUAGUGGGGGAUAACGUCCGGAAACGGACGCUAAUACCGCAUACGUCCUGAUGGAGAAAGUGGGGGAUCUUCGGACCUCACGCUAUCUGAUGAGCCUAGGUCGGAUUAGCUAGUUGGUAGGGUAAAGGCCUACCAAGGCGACGAUCCGUACCUGGUCUGAGAGGAUGAUCAGUCACACUGGAACUGAGACACGGUCCAGACUCCUACGGGAGGCAGCAGUGGGGAAUAUUGGACAAUGGGCGAAAGCCUGAUCCAGCCAUGCCGCGUGUGUGAAGAAGGUCUUCGGAUUGUAAAGCACUGUAAGUUGGGAGGAAGGGAAGUAAGUUAAUACCUUGCUGUUUUGACGUUACCAACAGAAUAAGCACCGGCUAACUUCGUG
rnacentral:rRNA from 1 species